rnacentral:snRNA from 1 species
GUAGCUACCUAGCAAGGUGGUUUCCCCAGGGUGAGGCUCAUCUAUUGCACUGCGGGUGUGCUGACUCCUGCGAUUUCCCCAAAUGCAGGAAACUCGACUGCAUAAUUUGUGGUAGUGGGGGACUGCAUUCGCGCUCUCCCCGG